rnacentral:lncRNA from 1 species
CUUGACCUGCUGAAUUAGAAGGAAAACAUGGCGACACCCCUGUUCCUUACUAGUGUUGCUUAAAAUGCACCUUAUAAUCUGGUGCCCUUAUGUAUGAAAAUAGACUCGAAAAUAGACAUUCAUUGAUAGUGUGCCUAUUAAUUUGGUGCACGUUAUAGUCCAUUAAAUACGGUAAACAGCCCUAGUAUUAAUUACAGUACUUCACCUCCCCAUGUAAAUCAAACACUGUCCAAAUUAAAUGAAUUAAAGCGCUGUAGAAAUUUUCAGAUUACAUUUUUUCCUCCUAUCCUCCAUCUGAAUUCUAUUCAUAUUCUUCAGUUUUGCAGGAGACAGAAAACAGGCACGUUUUGUUGGGGGGGAACCACCCGUUCUAGCAGACAGAUGCAACACCUUUCAGAGAACCCAGACACUACACACUCCACUGACUUCCUUGUCCAGCCUGUACCAGCAACACAUCAUAGAAGGCAUCACCACCCACAGUGGACAGGGCAGUUUGUGGUAAUAAUCGUGACCGGCGGCUUCUGUCUAGACUUGUCCAUGCAAACAGACAAGUUCCAGACAAGUGACUCCCCACCCUUAUCUCCCACAGAAUCGGCCUAGCCUGCACCCUGAGCCGGCCUUCACGCUACCGCCAGGAGAAGACUGAGACUGCUCCAGUUCAGACCCACGCACUGGUCAGCAGCGUGCCCGCCACCUCACGCCGCCGUCCUGCACCGGUACGCUCCUUUGUUUUAUUCUUAUUCUUGUUUUUUUCUUUUUCCUUUUUAUCUUUAGUUGUUCCGGUUUUUUUUUUCGCUUCGGAAGCUUCUUCGACAUAAAACCGUAUUUUAGCUGCGUGUCGCGUUUACCGUGGUUCAGCGUUUGGCAAUGUAGUCGACAUUGCUGAAUAAAAUCUCAAAAUGAAAAUAACA